rnacentral:rRNA from 1 species
GACGAACGCUGGCGGCGUGCUUAAUACAUGCAAGUCGAGCGAGGCCCCUCCUUCGGGAGGGUGUCCUAGCGGCGAACGGGUGAGUAACACGUGGGCAACCUGCCCUCAGCUCUGGGAUAACCCCGGGAAACCGGGGCUAAUACCGGAUACGACCACAGCGGGCAUCCGCUUGUGGUGGAAAGAUUUAUCGGCUGAGGAUGGGCCCGGCGGCCUAUCAGCUAGUUGGUGGGGUAAUGCCACCAAGGCAACGACGGGUAGCCGGCCUGAGAGGGCGACCGGCCACACUGGGAC